UUGGUCCGAUGAAAGGGGUCGUGUUUUAUUCUCUGACGAAAGCCGAUUUCAUCGACGGUAGGGAAAGGAUGUGGAGGUAUCGGGGAGAACGGUACCAUCAAGCCAAUUUUACUGAAACGGUGUCAUAUGGAGGAGGGUCCGUUAUGGUGUGGGGUGGCAUUACUUUAACAGCCCGCACAGCAUUGGUCAUAAUUGAUGGCGGUUCUCAGACUGCACAAAAGUACAUUACCGAGAUCCUGGAACUCCAUUUAAUGCCUUUUGCCCAACUUAGAGGGCCAGAUUUUGUGCUUAUAUGCACGAUAACACACGGCCGCGCAGUGCUCACGUGGUUCGCGAUUAUUUAAAUGUUAUUGGAAUUACCCAAAUGGACUGGCAAGCACGAUCCCCGGACCUGAACCCAAUAGAGCAUGUCUGGGACAUGAUUGGACGGAAAGUACGGAUACGGUUUUUAUGCUACUGGUACUAUCAGAGCCAACAGAGUCGAGAACUGCCCGCUAAAAGAUAUUCAGCAAUUCAAACGGGAAGAACGCGGCUUUAGUGACUACAGGAUGUCCGACGAUGUGUUUGUUUGUCGCUGGAAUGACAAUAAUGUGGUAACGGUAGCCACAAACUUUGAAAAUUGGAGCUUGACCUCGGCUACUCGCUGGUCAAAUGAAAAGAAAGCAAAAGUUGCUAUCCCCCAGCCGUCAUUGAUAGCAAGCUAUAACAAACAUAUGGGAGGUGUAGAUAAAUGCGAUCAAGCAGUUGCCAAUCUUCGCACCAGAAUGCGCAUAAGAAAAUGGUGGUGGCCCAUUUUUGCCUAUUUCAUAGAUGUGUCAGUAGUCAGGUUGGUUGCUGGCAAGGAAAAAUGGUUGCAACAAAGAAACGGACUCUUUGUUGUCUUUUCGCAGGUAUGUAGGUUGGAGUCUGCUAAUACAGCAUGGAACACCAUCACACCAAGGCCUCAAGCCAGCCAAACCCAUGAUCUCUGCAAGAUAUGACGGAAGAGACCAUUGGAUUACACCUAUAAACACAGAACGUCGCUGUGGCAACCAGUGUGGUGGCAAAGCAAAGUUUAUUUGCAUAAAAUGUGACAAAGGCCUGCAUCCUAAGGCGCUGGACACACAGAAAAGACGUAAGACGCAGACGGGGCGCGGACAUUUGUCUCUUCCACGUCCCUUUCAUAUAAAAUGUAUAGAAGCGUCGUGACGCAAAACAUACAGAAUAGACGGGGCGCGGGCGCAACGCUUUUACGUCUGCGCCUUUUGUUCAAAACACACAGGAGAGACGGGGCACGGACGCGGCGGGGGCGAAGACGGGGCGCGGGGUGGCAUGCCCGCCGGGAGGGGCUCGCUCGCGUCGCACAGUCACGUGUACCGUCUUGACGUUGAAUGGUUGCGUCAUGUUUUGAGUUGUUAUAAUUUUUUUCAUAAAAAUGCGUGACGACCUAGCUUUUAAUAUUCAGUUUUGUGAAUUAAUUGAGAAUCAUUCUGUUAUUUAUGAUUACAAUAGGUCUGACUAUUGUAACAGAAAUGUUCAAGACCAAGCUUGGGAAUCGAUUGCCAGGACAAUAAACGAAAACGUACAAGCUUGCAAAGAUCGUUGGAAAAACAUAAGGAACAGAUAUGCAAAAUACAAAAAACUUCUAUCACUUCCAUCUGGCUCUGCAGCCAAGAAGGUAAAAGAAUAUUACCUUGCCCAGCACUUGCAUUUUUUGGAUAAAUAUUUGAAAUCAAGACCUUCCAAAUCUAAUCUAGAACCACAAUGCAGGUCAGAUACUCAUACGGACGAAAGUGAACUUGAUGAGAAGGAGUCAAUGUCGCCGUUUCGGCCUCCGUCCCAUUCACCCUCUCCACAGGCUCAAAAUCAUCCUUCGCCGUUAUCAUCGGACUCGAGUAAAAAAGUAAAAUGCCUACUUUGAAAGACGUCAAUCAAUCUGCUUUUGAUUACUUUAACAGAAAACGACAAAAUAGCGAGAAACAAAUGCAACCUCUUGAUACAGAUCUUGCCUUCCUUCAAAGCAUGUUGUCUGAUAUGAAGGCCAUGAAUCUUGUUCAAAAACGAAGGUUCAAGAUGAAGGGAGUAAUGCAGUUGGAGGCGCAAAUCUUAGAUGGAAACGAGGCAGCAUCGACAUCAGAACCAGCAUAUUCUACCCGCAUUUCUCAAAACAACAUAGCCACGGUGUCUUCUAUACAACAGCCGUUUCAUAAUGUUGCACCUCCAUUAACAAUAGAGCAAAAUCAGAAUGUUGCAUCUCCAUCAAUAUCUGUGCAGGAUGAGAAUACCCCAACGUUUUUCACUCUAUCACCCUAUUCAACAAUUAGUUCAGUUUUGGCUGCACACGUCACCAAUACAUCUUUUUUGAAUGAAGAAUUACCUCUGAACUACACGUACAAUUUUUCUACACCAAAGUAAUCCAUCGGAUUACUUUAGUGUAGAAAAAUUAUACACAUCAACAUCGGUUUGAGCGUGCACAUAUUUCAAAAGUUAAUUAAACCUUAUUAUGUAACACAAUUUUCUGUUAGUAUUAAAGUAAUUAAAAAAGAUAAUGUAUUUCACUUACCUUAACGUUAUAAGUAAUCUUUCUUCAGCACUAAUAGAUACUCUCCAAUUUGUGUGCUUUCUCUGUAAAGCAUUUCUCACUUUGGACAUGAUAAUAUUAAAACACUGUGGAGUCAUUUUAUACACUGUGACAAAACGAUCUGGGUAAUUGUGUAGGUCCUCCAUUAUUUUAAAAAAUCGAUUGUCUUCAUUGCUUAGCCAUACCGGAUGUACCCAGUAACGUCUAACCCUCUGUAUAUUAGCGAGAUUUACCAGUGCUAGCACAUCUUCAUCUUCAGAAGAAGACAUGUCGACGUGACAAAAUCAGACUGUUGAAUGCCGAAAAUAGUCCUGACUGCGCGACUGCGUCGCGUCCGCGCCCCGUCUCUUCUAUAUAACUUCAAAAGUCGCGUCCGUGUCUCGUCUCCGCCCUGUCCGCGACGCGUCCUCGUCUUACGUCUCUUCUGUCUGGCCUGCGCCUAAGUGCUUUAUGAAAUACCAUACUAAUGGUAAAUUGUCAUAAUUUACAGAUACAUGUUUUUUUUUAUUUUUCUAAUAAAUCAAUCCAAAUAUCUGUCUUUUUUAUUUGAAUUAAUUUAGUUUAUCUUAAGUAGUACGUGGGACCACUAUGCAUAGCGUCCGAUUUAUCGGACGGGUACUUAAAUCAAGGAGAUAUAAAUAACUUGUAUUUUUUAUAGCUAGGGCAUUUAUGGGGCCCUAAAUAAUAAUUAAAAUAUAAAAUAAUCAAAUUUUAUGCGGUAAUAAAAUUUAUGCACUAAUGGAUUAAGAACGAGCUAACGAAACUGCAAGAAAAAAAUAUAUCGACUACAAAAACACGGAACGGAUCAAAAAAAGAAGUUUGAGACUGAAUUACUAAAAAUGAAAGGCAGAAAUUUCUUCGAGGAUUUCAAUCCUCGAAGCAUCUUUGGAGAUAACUUACAAAAAUUGUGUAAAUAAUAAAGAAAGAUACCUGAUAAAGAAAAUUGCAAAUAAUAAUUUGGUGCUAAAUAGUAAAGCACAGACGUCUGUUUCGAAACAAAUUGGUAUACGGUGUAGAAAGAAAAAAUCUGUUAAAUGCAUAAUAUCAAAAUUCAACCUUCUUCUUCCGGAUCAACGCUAUCAUCGCUACAUUAGCAGGUAAAGCUCGUAGUCUCAUAGAAAACGUGGACACAAACACGGUUGAACGCUUCAACAGUGUUAUUGCCAAAUAUAUAGGUGGUAAAAUAAUAAAUUAUUCAUUGAGACGGGGCUAUCAAGGACGAUGUUCAGUUUGUUGGUUUCAAUUAACAGCGAAUCUGCCGUUUCCUCCGUCCAAAGAGCCAUUCUUGGAAGCAGUCCUAGUGGACAGGUGAAAAAAAUCGAGAGCAGAAGUUCUCUUUAACGAAAGCUGAAUAGAGACCAACCCAAUAAGUUUAUGAAGGAAGACCCCUAUGGAAUCAUGAGCAUCGACGAAUCAGGCAGCUUGGUGAAGCAAAUAACGAAACUCAAAGCUCAUACAUCAGCAUAACGAAACCCAAAACUCAAUGCUCAAAGAGCAUUGUUUACCUCUAGCAAGCUGUUUGUUUAUAUAAAAAAAAAAAUAUUGCCAGUAUUCCAAAUGGUAUCGGAGAAGCACGACACAAACACCUUGACAUAUUGGAUUCGAGAGUGGAUUCGUUCUGGCGGGUCGCGUCCGAAACAAGUAGUAAUAGACUACUCACCGGCACUUCUGAACGCUACUUGUCUCGCGUUUAACAACACUGAUUUGAAGACAUAUAUAGAAACAUGUAUUGUCUUUGACAAAAACGGUUGGUCUGUGCGGUUGAACCGUACACGUUGUAAUAUUCGUAUCGAUAUUUCGCACUUUAUACACAUGAUGGCGCGUGGGAGCUGCUUUAAACGCGAGAGUCCAGAAAAGAAAGACUUCUUCUACCGUUGCGCGGGUUUGCUAACCACAUGUACGGAAAUAAACGAUUUUAUUCGGUUGUGUAUCGACGUACUAACGAUCGCUUUUGUCACGCAUGAAGACAUUGAAGACAAAAACAGUCAUUGUUUCGCAGCACAGAAUCGAGUUUUAAAGCUCUUGAAAUCGUAUAGUCUUCCCGAUAAUGCUGACAAACUCGACAAUGGUCAGGACGAAGAAGAAAGAUUGUUGCAACGAUUUGACGACGUAUUAAAUUUAAUUACACAAUUGUUAUAGCGCGGCGCAAGUCGUUGCUCGUCAUUUUUAUUGCCAUGAGUGAACAACUUGUGGCGAAUGAACUGCUGGCGUUCCUGCAGCAAAAGCUGGACGUGAUGGAUGAGGUGUCCGCUGUCCAGAUCUGCGCAUCGAACUUCAGCGAACCUGACGUCGCUGCUUCCAAGCAGCAAAUAUAUUUGGAUCCGCGCAGCUAGAUUAUUGAGCGACGUGGCCUGACUGUGGACCAGUACAGCUAACCGCCUGCGUCUACCGGCUACAGUCGAUUACGACUGGGACACUAACGCUGAUUGGCUUGACAGCUUAGUAACGAUCUCGUUGCUUGCUUCAGAUGGCGCAGGGAGCAGGUUACACGACGCUAGGGGAGUUGCUUGACGAAAGUGGAGAGACCGAACAGGAUGAGGCGAUAUUGGAGCGUGUCAAACACUUGGCGCAAGAGUCUCUACCCAAGGGCUGGACAGGAUGGGAAGUUGUCAACGCCUCAAAAGAAGAGAUUUUCGGGGAGAAACCUGAAACUAAUGUUUUAAACAAACUAGUGUUUGCCCUCCCCACAGUCGGCUUAAUGCGAGCUUUUGACCCGGAGGCAGAUCAUCUAUCAGAAAAGAGCUAUCGUGAAAUAAGGUGCAAAUUACUAGAUUGGGUCUUUACACGCUCCCUCAUAUUGGGCCCACCCUCGAUUGCAAACGGAAUUAGGGGAUCAGCGGCUCGCACCGAGCUCUUCAAGCAAUCCUUGGGGGAAUGACGGCCUUCGCUGCAUAUCCAGUACGAGGCCAAUACUAUUCUUUCGGGCAGUCUUUCUGAGUCCGAAAAAUCCACACGUGAGAGGAGAAGUUGCUCAUCUGCGUAUGAUGUUACCCAAUCACAGAAGCGAAGACAAACAUCACCCGUGCCCUCAACAUCACAAGACAACAGGAUCGAGAGGUUGGAGAAGAAAAUGGACAGCACGUUUUCACUCCUCUUAGAAAGGAUUGGCAUGCAUCAACAGCAGCCAACCAGUCUGGCUCAGACUAUUCAACUAGACUCGAAUAGAGAUGGGUAACUCAGGAAUGAUAGAUAAAAAUGAUAUGUAUCAAUCCAUUCUGUUCACUCACUCUUCAUAUCAGUUCAAAUCCGAAUAUAUCAGUAUAUCAUCGUCGUCCUUUUUUAUCUGUGUCGCAGUCGCGCGAGCGGCUCACGACUGGCGAAUGGCGACACGGUGUCUCUUCGUAAAGUUCAGACAUCUCUUUCACACUUCCCUAUUUAUUAUGUUCUGUCCUGCUUUCGCAAGACCGAGAAUAUUAUUUGACCAUUAUAAACUGAUAUACGUCGGUACAAUAAGAAAAAGGAACGACUCUAUAACGAGUGCGUAAGGUUUAAAGUCGUAAAGCGGUACGUGACCAUUUCAAGCAUUAUACUGGUUUCGUUUUGAAAAGCAAUUUUUGAAAAUAAUGCAAACUAAUUUCGGUCAUAAAGUUAUCGAAAUUAGGAUCAACAUAGAAAAAAAAGUAAAUAAACAAUAUACUUGCGAUUUACAGAAUAUUAUUUUGAUUUAUUUAGUUCAAGCUUGACCUUCGUCCGCGUCAAGGGAUCGGGAGUGAUAGAUACCUACCUAUUGUAAACUAUUGUUUUCGUUGCAUUGAAGAGAGAGUUUUAAAUUCUUGUCAGCAGUCAGAGUCUUGAACAGCAAGUGACUAUUUAAUUUAAAUAUAGGUAAUUAAGACGUUUAGUGUAAGUGAAUAGUUUUAGUGUAAUAGGUAUAAGUAGUGUUUUUUAUUGGAUAGUUAGGUAUUUUAGUUUAAGUGUAAAUAAUUUGUACAGUUUUAAAUAUUAACGAAAAAAUGUCAGGUUCACGAAAACGCAGUGCAGUGUGGAAUCACUUUGAGGAAGUGGAACCCAAAAAAGCAAAAUGCCUUUAUUGUGCGAACAUUUUAAAUUUACCCGCUGGAAAUUGUGGUAACCUGGCUAGACAUUUAAAAAGUAAACAUCCCACUGUACCACUAAACUUGUUCCUGACAGGCAACCAACGGCAACGCAGCCGAUAACUGAAGCCCCGCAGGUACCACUUGCCCCAACGUCAACAGCGGCAGAAUUUCCAACAUCCAACGCCCCUGCCCUCGGCACAUCCUCCGUGGGGUUACCUCCUCUUCAGCCAUCCAUUAGAGACUAUGCGCACAGUACCAAAUCCAUGCCGCCUCGGCGGCAAGUAAUAGCUCGGAGUUUGAUCAACGGUUUUACGGCCAGGCAACGAGAUGCUCCUAGUUCAAAAACUAAUGCGGUACGAAGAGCUAUAAAACGGCAAAUGACUUCACAUCCUAUGGAAAAAGUGAAUAACAGAAAACGGUGUGUAAAUUGUGCUAAGUUCAAGCGAGAAAUUCGUACAAAUAAUACAUGUACUGUAUGCAAACUUCAUCUCUGUUACACUAAUGACAGAAAUUGUUUCAAUGAUUAUCAUCAAUAAUAUAAUACAAUAAUCAAAAUUAUAAAUAUGUUGUUUGUUUUACUGAAACUCUUUAAUUAUGAAUAAAUCUAAGAGACGUAAUUACACGCUAAUUAAGUAAAAACGUCCCUUGACGUCCAUAGGGACAAAUAUGUCCCAAAAAAAAUCUAAAAAUCUAUUAUUGUUAUUUACAUAAUCACGGGACCACAGGGUCCCGGGCCUUUGGAAGGCGUACGAGGGGCCGAAGCCAACUCGCAGAGGCCCGUUGAACAAUUUUAAUCUAAAUGUAAGGGGACAUCUAUUAUUUUCUUUCCAAAAUACGUUUAUUACAUGCCUCAUGAGUCAUGUUAAGCAAUCAGAAUGAUUACUUUACCUCCUAUAAUGUUAUGGUCCUGAGAGGGUUAAGAAACAGUUACUUCCAUGGAAAACGACAUAUAGGUCAGUUGAUUUUAUCAAAUCUUCAGUUAUUUAUUAAUCUGCUUGAUCUUUACUAUGGCUAUGUUAAUUCAAGCUCACAAUGUUCCAAUUCUAAUACGUUUUUCUAAGAUUUAAAGUAAACUUUAAUAAAUAGUAAUAGACUAAUAGGUAAUUGCAAGACUUGCAAGACUCUUGCUGCAAGACCAAGACCAAGACCAGGUGUAUUGGCGCAAGACCAAGACCAAGACUGGCUAAGUCUCGUCUUGUUUUUGCAUUUGGGCAACACUAAAAAUUUGUAUGAGAUUCAUCAAACAUGUAUAAAUACAGUAUUGGAUUACUUUUAUAACUUUUUUUCACCUGAUAUUAUUGGUGAUAUCGUUCAUAGCACUAAUUUAUACGCAGUGCAACAACUAGGGCGAUCUAUUCAGUUGACAGAAGACGAGAUUAAAAACUUUUUAGCCAUUCAUAUCAUGAUGGGUAUAGUACAGAUGCCGGCUUACACUGAUUAUUGGGCUAAGAGAACCAGAUACCCUCUAAUUGCUGACCUAAUACCUCUCAAAAGGUAUCAACAAAUACGUCGAUACAUACAUUUUGCAGAUAACACCUUGGAAGACUCGGACCGCUAUUUCAAAACUCGUCCUAUAAUGGAAAAAAUACGACAAACAUUUCUGCAAGUUGAAGAAGAAGGAAAAUACUCAAUCGACGAGAUGAUGAUACCUUAUAAAGGUCGUAAAGCGGGUAAAAGAAAGCAAUACGUAAAGAUGAAACCUAAAAAAUGGGGGUUUAAAAAUUUUGUGCGUGCGGGCGUCUCGGGUAUUAUUUAUGAUUUUCUUUUGUAUGGUGGUGACGAUACCUUUCGUGGACUGGUUCUUACAGAAAAAGAAGCUACAAUUGGUUUGGGAGGUAUGGUAGUUAUUGCGUUAUGUCAAACCAUAAAGAAAAAACCAGCCACUGUGGACGCUGAUAACUUUUUCAUGUCACCAGAACUAACACAUAUAUUGCGAGAAGAGUACGGUAUCUUUAGUCUUGGUACCAUACGAACGAAUCGUCUAAGGGGCUGCCAAGCCUUAUUACCAACUGAUCACUAAUUUAAAAAAAGAAACGUGGUUCUAGUGCGCAAGUGGUUUGUAAUAAAAAUAAGUUAGCAGUCGUAAAGUGGCAUGACAACAAAGUUGUCACACUAAUCAGUUCAUAUAUAGACUCGCACCCGAUUGAAACUAUGAAACGUUACGACAAAGACGAGAAAAAGAAGAUAGAUGUCGAAUGCCCUCAAAUCGUCAAACAUUAUAACAAACACAUGGGCGGGGUAGAUUUGGCCGAUAUGUUGAUUUCGUUGUAUAGAACCCCCUUCAAAAGUCAUCGAUGGUAUUUGGGAAUAUUUUCGCAGCUUAUUGAUAUGUGUAUCAAUAACAGUAACAGUAAGUAAAUACAUAUUUCUUUUUCAUUUUAUCUUCUUAUAUAGCAUAUUUUAUCCCUUAUGGACUAAUAAAUAGAAAACAAUAGAAAAAUAUACUAAAUUUUGGGUGUUAAUGGGUUAAACAAAGAACGAUUCCGACUUUUAAAUUAACUGAAUUUUUAUUCUAACAAAUUAAAUCAAAAGAAUAGACACACAUAACUUACAACUAGAAAUAGACCACUUAACAGCCAAGUUGCACACAAUGACCAACAAAUACAGUGCAUCAGAAAAACAAAUGAGGGAAUACAUGUUGGCUAUGGAUGAGUUAGUGCGGUCACAGUCACAGGAAAACCCAUGUGAAAAAUGUGAUUCUAGUAAUGUACUGCCUCUUGUACUGUGCCAACGUGUGAUACCGCCUUGCCUCAUGGUGCCAGUUUACUGUUUCCUACCCAAUGUAACAGUAAUAAUAGUUGUAAUAACAGUGUUGUAAUCUUCAGUGAUGAGAUUGGAAAGAACUUAGGUUCUUUAUUGACAAAUAGUUACCCAGGACAAACAAUAAUAAAUCAUUGUAGGCCCGGCUGUAUACUUUUACUAAAAUUUGGAGAAAAUUAUUAAUUACUAUUUUAAUAAAGCUUCUACCCUCAUUAUUAUUUGUGGUGUUAGAUACCUCUAUUACAAAUGUUUAAAUAAAAAUAAUUUCAUAGUUCAAUUACAGAACUUAAAUUAAAGCAGAUAUUGUUGUUUACAUUGCCCUACAGUAAUAGCUUGCCACAGGAAGAAAACAACCUUAGAUAUAAACUUAAUAUUGCAAUGUAUCACUUAUGCAAUAAUUCAAAUAUUAAUAUUAUUGAUACCAACAAUUACGUUGGUUAAAAUGUAUAUAUGACGCAAGAUAGGUAUUAUCUUUCUCGUUUUUAUUUAAGACGAAUAGCAGUGUCGCUAUCAUAUUUUAUUAGAAUAACAGCCAAGAACUUGGCUAAACAGGUUACUCCUAUUGAGCAACCUUCUAAUAUUGACUCAUAUGAUUUAAGAUUAGCGCAUUGUAGUCUGUUGCUACAUUUCAAAAUGUGGAAAAGAUUAUCUUUUUAACGGGAAAAUUCCAGGGGAAUGCUGAGCCCGUGCCAAACAAAAUAUAAAAAGAAGCCGUGCUUCGAAAAUAGUUGAAGGAAAUAAAUGACUAUUUCAAGAAUUUAGAAAAUUCAUAAAACAUUCCUGCCAGUAAUUUUCUUAAUUACUUCUUGCUGCAAAGCAAAAAUCCUUAACCAUUACGUAUAAAUACCUUGAAAAAGGUCACACUCAAAUGAAGUGUGACUCCAUGCAUGCCACAAUUGAAAGAAAGCUUAAAAAUCGUGAGUUUUAUUCACCAGUAUAAUACGUCGAAAUUUGUAAAACUGCUAGACUCACAAAACCGAACAACGUCGAAUACUUGCAGCAUAUUUUCUUCCACAAGUUUAGCUCCAUGCCAUACUUCAACUCCAUUAGACAUGGAAAGAAAACUGGGGAGACAAGAGUGUUUGAUUUGCGCUGUAUCAGUAUCGCAAUGAUGGGACAAUUUAUUCUUAGCCAAUUUAAUAACAACCAUAAUAAAACUCAUUGGAAGCAUGUAAAGCGAAUUUUAAAGUAUUUGCAAAAAACUAAACAUUUUGGUUUAAAAUAUGGAAAAGAUGAUUUAGAUCUGAUAGGUUAUGCAGAUGCAGAUUGGGCAUCAGAUUGUGUUGACCGCAAAUCUUAUACAGGUCUCAUGUAUAAAAUGUCUGGUAGUGUAAUCUCAUUUGAAAGCAGUGAACAAUAGCUCUGUCAAGCACAGAAGCUGAGUAUGUGGCCAUGUGUGAAGCAAUUUACUUAAAGAACUUGUUAUUUGAGUUGAAAUGUAGAAAUUAUUUUGCCUGUAUUGUUAUAUAAUGACAACCAGAUUGCACAAUUGUUAACUAAACAUUCUAUAUUCCAUAAACGAAGCAAGCAUAUAGAUAUUAGAUUAUUUUAUACAAAUUAUGUUAUAACUAGUACGAAGAAUAAAAGUAUGUAUGCGAAUAUGCAAUUUACGUUCCAUGUGCGGCACAUUCGCUUAAUUUAGUGAAUGUUCAAGCUGUUGAAUGUAUUACUGAAGUAGUAGCAUUCUUUCAAUUUGUUCAAAAAUUGUAUAAUUUUUUCUCAGCUUCGACCAAAUGCUGGCAAAUUUUGACAGAGCAUUUAGGUGUAAAUAGUCCUGAAGUCCCUUUCGCAAACCAUAUGCGGACGCACAUGCCAAUGCUACUAAUGCUUUGCAAAAUGGUUAUUUAAAUAUUUCUGAAGCAUUAUCCUUCAUCGCAAAUAACAUCAAUCAACCAGGAGACACUAGAAACGAAACCCAAACCUUAGUAAAAAAAUUGAAAAAUCUUGGCAAAAUGUACGGCAGCAUACAAAGAAAUUGAUAAUAGAUUUAGUUUUCUUAGUCAGUUAACAACAAUCGAAUCUGACGAAUUGACCAAAAAAUGCAAUGAAUUUUAUCAUGAAGACAUUAAUGCAUAUGAGCUCAAAACAGAAUGUUUUCAUUUAAGCCAAUAUUUAAAAAAUAUAGCCAUCAGCGGAUUUAAAUGGCCAUUUCUCCACUAAAUGGAAAAUCACUGUCCCAAACAAAUUUUGUGUAAUAAUUCUUAUUAUAUCUCAGUUUUUAACUUUUAUAAUGACAAAGUUUUAGACAUUCUUGGGCAUGCCACAUUUUUUUUAGCAAUUUAAUCAUUUUAUAUUUUAAUAAACUUUCUUCAUACACCUCAAAACACAGUUGAAGUUGAGGUAGUGGUAGACAACACCACAAUAAGGUUAGAGAAACCUUUAAUACAAAAAGGAUGAAAGAACAUCGUCUAUUAACUGGAAUGCAAACACUUGCUGCAAACCAACAAUCAAUUAAGGCAGAUUUUCGCUUUUGUUACUGUAGGACAGCUGACUAAAUUAACUAAUAACGUAAAUAACAAACCGCAAAUGUUACCUGUACCUGUAACAUCUAGAAACAUUGGUAUUUUGACAUUAUUACAUACACAAUUUACCCUACUAUCAUCAAUCCAACAAAAUGGCUGACUUGUGAGGUGCAAACUUGACAUACUAUUCCUUGCCACUGAGUUACAAAUCCAUCAUUGUGCAGCAAAUGUGCCAGUGUCCGUCAAACUUUGAUGAAUAUAAAGGUGAUUUCAGCAUUUAUUUACCAAUUCUGACUUUCUUUUUCACUGCUAAGACUCAAUGAAUGUUUUCAAACUAAGUUUUAGAAAAAAUUAACAUUCAUAAUACCUAGAUGUUAAAAGGUGUUUGCUCCAUACCAAAUAAUCUGCACAGAGGCGUUUUUGCUUUUAUACUUGGUAUAAAAGAACCCGAAUUACAUAUCCAACAAAAAGAUGGCCUGUUCUACACCUUUUUGCUCAAACAAUCAGGUAGCACCAGCGACUUCAUGAUAGUGCUUCCAAAAGCGACUGGCAACAAUAAGUAGCACAUUGACCAAAACAAAUUGGAUAUAAAAUCCCAGACCAUCAUUGAUACCUUUAUAAUAUAAGUCAAAGAGCAAUCCAAACAUCCUCUACAAAUACUCUAUGUGAAUACUUCUUUUUAAUUAAUACAAUAAAUAAUACAUAAUUUUAUUUCAUAACAGUACUUUACACUUAGAACAAUAUGUUUAGAACCUUAUCGAAUGAGUGUCAAAGACUAGACUUCUUUUGAUACAACAAAAUCUAAACGACAGUACGAGAUAGUACACCCAAGGAUACUCAACAACAAUUACACAAAUAUUUGCCAAGUUCAUAUAUACACAUAAAAUACUAAACACUUAUAACCAAGACCAACCUAAUUCACUUUUCAAAAACAAAAACGAGGACAUUGAUCAAGACUGCAAACGUAGGGUUAUUAGGCACAUGCAUGCCUCUAACAUUCAUGUAUAAAAUAGUGACUGAUAUAAACAUAAAUAACACAUUUCUAUCGACAACCUCUAACUGUUAAUUUUUAUUUGAUAGCAACUAAACACAACGUACACGCUUGACUGAAGGAACCCAAACUGACCGACUACGACUAGCCAACCACUGACAAAAUCGCAAGCAAUUUAAAAAUUUUA